rnacentral:misc_RNA from 1 species
UCCGGUUUAUCACCGGCAGUCUCCUUAGAGUUCCCGGCCGAACCGCUGGCAACUAAGGACGAGGGUUGCGCUCGUUACGGGACUUAACCCAACAUCUCACGACACGAGCUGACGACAGCCAUGCAGCACCUGUCACUCGGUUCCCGAAGGCACUCCUCUAUCUCUAGAGGAUUCCGAGGAUAUCAAGGGUAGGUAAGGUUCUGCGCGUUGCAUCGAAUUAAACCACAUGCUCCACCGCUUGUGCGGGCCCCCGUCAAUUUCUUUGAGUUUUAACCUUGCGGCCGUACUCCCCAGGCGGAGAACUUAACGCGUUAGCUUCGCUACUAAAAGGUAAACCUUCCAACAGCUAGUUCUCAUCGUUGAUGGCGUGGACUAC